AGCUCUGAGGAAAGCUAUGUUGUAAGGUUGCUCAGACUUACAGAGUGGGUCACUUGCUGAGAAACUGAGGGCCUCCUGCCAGCUGCUAGCACAACCUUACCAGGACUUUCCUGAUUUGAGUGCUAGAAAUCCAGAUCCCUGAAUGAUUUACAACAAGUUAGCUUUCCAGUGGACUUUGCCUUUCAGAUCACUGGAAUGCAGAGAGCAGGACCACUCCACACAAGACUCUGUGAUUAAUCUUCCCAACAACCCCC